AUAACAUGUAAAAAGGAUUAAAAGCAUAGGGUUUGCCCAAGGGUCGCGAACCAUACAACAUGAACAUGCUGGCUUUAGAUGUUGAUAAGUGUGUUUUUGCACACUUAUUUAAGUCACAAACAUGACUUAAUAACGAACAAAAUAAUUAAAUUGUGACUUAAUCUCGUUACAUUUGUGAAUUGUAGGGAACAACGAUGAACAUGGUGAAAUUCAGGAGAAAAGACGUGAAAAGGACUAAAAUGACACAAAGUGAAAGUUCAGGGACCAAGGUGCAAUUAUCCAAAAGUUGACCCGAUGAACAAAUCGAGAAAUUGAUUAAGCCAAUUGUCAAUUAAUGAUAUCUUGGGAUAAUGGAAUGAAAAGAAUGAA
rnacentral:lncRNA from 1 species